GCAAAUGAUUGUGUGCAGCACUUCUGUACUUUUUUGGGGGGUGCUUUUCCACUCUGCCAGGAAACAAAGAAACUAUUGAGUGUUCAUGCACCAAGCAGGGGUCCUGGAAGAUAUGAAUCAGGGUCUUGUGGCUAACACCCACAAGCCCCAGGCUGACAUGAGAAAGUCCACCCUCUCCUGCAAGAGGAGGAAAGGCAUCUCUGAUAACCUGCAUUUAAUAUAGUUCCUGGUGAGAGUUAAAUUAUUUUCAACUUCUCACGGUCUACUGGUUUUCUAUCUGGAACCUGAAUUUUGUUCUCCAGUCUUUUUGCUCAUGCUACUUUUGAAUCUUUAGAUCAAAUUCCCAUGAAGUCCAUUCAAAUUCUCUGCUUGUAGCCCUAAUCUCAGCCAGGCAUGUCUCAGAGCUGAAUGUGCUUUCCAUGUCUAAGAAUCUCAGUGAGUUUCAUAAGGGCAAGGUUAGACUUCAUUCCCAGGCUCAUCAUUAACCUCGAAGGUGAAUCCAGUCUUUCAUGGAUUGCAAGACUCUCCUUUUCUUUUUCCCCAGAGCCUACACACCUCCAGGAACAGACUGGGUGCACACGCAAAAUCUCGAGGGCCCUUGAGUAUGAUAUUCACAGUACCAAUCCAUUUCAGCAUGUAAACUAUAUUUUUGUCUCUUUCUGCUAAUGUUCUCUAGAGAAGGAAGCUCCUAACUCUUAGCCCUGGUGAAGUGGCUCACUGCAGCCAUCACUAAUAUUGUGAGUUGUUGGGAGUGCCUGGGAAAAGGGCUGUGUCUCAGUGGUAGCAAGGCCCAUGCUUUGAAUGCAAAAAACCCCUAGGUUCAAAACUUAUAGAAUUGUAGAGGUGGAAAGGACCACAAGGGUCAUCUAGUUCAACCCGCUGCAACGCAUGUCUUUUCCUUGGCUUUUCCCUAUAGGGCUGGGAGAGACCCCUGCCUGAAACCCUGGACAGCCACUGUCAAUCAGCGUAGAUAAGCUUGGUUGACCAACGGCCUGACUACGAGUGUGUUCACAAAGCUUCCCCACCUCCACUCAGUCAAUACCUGGCUCUCUCUCUGACAUUUGAGGGAAGAAUUAUGAGAAGUUCUUCAGGGGAUGUAUCUGGACAGCUGGACUCCGAGUAGGAAUUCAAGAAAGGAUGCUCCCACCAAUCCUGCAGGACAAACAGUUCACUCUCCAUGCAAGACAAUAAUGGACACAAAUCUGACAUCAGAAACCACUGGGAGAACCGUUCACACUCCCAGGACACUCUGCUCCUGAGCUGAAAAUGGUCAUUCUCAAACAAAGGAACUUCAAAAGGAGAUUCCAGUGAGAAACAGCUUCACUACAACUUACCAAAAAAAAAUUCAAUUCUGCCACCUCUGGCUUGAAUCAAGAUAAGGGAUUCCUAUCCCACUGCAGAUGUUAAUUAACUUAGGACCGCUGGAGUGUCUUGUCAUCAACUGCAGUUGUUAUGCUUGGUUACUGUGCUAACUUUGCAUACUUAAGCUGAAAAUUAAUUGUCAGAUUGUCUUUUUUGUGUUUCAUUUUCAUCUAACCUCACUGUUUACAUUUCCUCUCUCUCUACACACACACACACACACACACACACACACACACACACACACACACCUGUCAACUGAGGAUAACAUUUUAGCCAUAUGAUGAAGUGUAUUCUGGUUCAUGAUAGCUUAGGCCGUAUUAAAUUUGUUAAGUUUGAAGGUA